rnacentral:rRNA from 1 species
AAACUGAAGAGUUUGAUCAUGGCUCAGAUUGAACGCUGGCGGCAGGCUUAACACAUGCAAGUCGAGCGGUAACAGGGGGAGCUUGCUCCCCGCUGACGAGCGGCGGACGGGUGAGUAAUGCAUAGGAAACUGCCCAGUAGUGGGGGAUAGCCCGGGGAAACCCGGAUUAAUACCGCAUACGCCCUUCGGGGGAAAGCAGGGGAUCUUCGGACCUUGCGCUAUUGGAUGUGCCUAUGUCGGAUUAGCUAGUUGGUGGGGUAAGAG